UUAUGUACAUUCUUAUAACAUAGCGUUUAUGCACUGAAUCCCAUUAUAACUCCACAAUUAAGCACACUUGGGAUAGAGUAAUAUUAGGAUGGGUGACCACCUUGGAAGUCCUAGUAUUUGACAUGAC
rfam:Picea glauca, whole genome shotgun sequence.